UCUCAGUGGCUCAGACGGUAAAGUGUCUGCCUGCAAUGCAGGAGACCCCGGUUCAAUCCCUGGGUUGGGAA
rnacentral:tRNA from 1 species